GGCGGUGCUGGUGCUGGCGGUCAUCGGGAGCUGCGGCCCCGCCCCCCCGGCGCCGGCCCCGCCCUUCCUGGAGGAGCCAGCCAAUGGCAGCGCGCUGCUGGGCGAGGGGGCGGAGCUCCGCUGCCGCGCGCGGGGGGGCGUGGCCGUGCAGUGGGCGAGGGGCGGGCUCCUGCUCGGGGCCACGCCCACCCGCGCCCACCCGCGGUACCGAUUGGCCGGAGACCCCCGGAGAGGUGAGCACCACCUGCGGAUCCGGCCGGUGGCGCUGGAGGACGACGCCACAUUCACCUGCCAGGCGGGGGAGGGGAACCGGACCCACAGCACCCGCCCCGCCCUGCUCAGCGUGCUG